AUUCCAUGAUGAGGCACUUUUGUUAUAACUCUUUGAACCUUUCCCAUGCCUCAUAUAAAGAUUCUUCGUCGAGUUGCUGAAAUAAAGUGAUUUCAUUUCGGAUCUU
rnacentral:snoRNA from 1 species